CAUUAGACUAGCAGGACAUUCCUUCCUUGUGUCUCCCCUGGCUACCGCACGGGACCGUGCAGGGUUACGCCCGCUCUUUUCAUCUUGGCGGGACCUGUCUAGAUUUUCUCCUGAGGAAGCGGAUUUUUCCGCAAAACUAGUUGAGACUGCCAUAACCCUCAACCCAUCGUGUUUUUCUCCUUAUCGGGGGACCUUCAGUAUGGCGUUGUCAUAGGUUAUCAUUAUUUUAAUUGUGUGACCUUGUCUGUUUAUGUUUUGAAUAAAAUUUAUUUUUUGUUUUAAA